UACGUAGGGGGCUAGCGUUGUCCGGAAUCAUUGGGCGUAAAGCGCGCGUAGGCGGCCAGAUAAGUCCGGUGUGAAAGUCACAGGCUCAACCUGUGAAUGCCGCUGGAAACUGUCUGGCUAGAGUUCGGGGAGAGGUGAGUGGAACUGCGAGUGUAGAGGUGAAAUUCGUAGAUAUCGCAAGACACCAGUGGCGAAGGCGGCUCACUGGCCCGGUACUGACGCUGAGGGUGCGAAAACGUGGG
rnacentral:rRNA from 1 species